CGGGUGAGUAGUGUAUGGGGAUCUGCCUGAUGGCGGGGGAUAACUACUGGAAACGGUAGCUAAUACCGCAUAAUGUCUGCGGACCAAAGCGGGGGACCUCCGGGCCUCGCGCCAUCAGAUGAACCCAUAUGGGAUUAGCUUGUAGGUAAGGUAACGGCUUACCUAGGCGACGAUCCCUAGCUGGUCUGAGAGGAUGAUCAGCCACACUGGGACUGAGACACGGCCCAG
rnacentral:rRNA from 1 species